rnacentral:rRNA from 1 species
UACGUAGGUGGCAAGCGUUGUCCGGAAUCACUGGGCGUAAAGCGCGCGCAGGCGGCGAUCUACGUCUGGGGUGAAAGCCCGGAGCUCAACUCCGGGACUGCCUUGGAUACGGGAUCGCUUGAGAAUUGGAGAGGCAAGGGGAAUUCCACGUGUAGCGGUGAAAUGCGUAGAUAUGUGGAGGAACACCUGUGGCGAAGGCGCCUUGCUGGCCAAUUUUCUGACGCUGAGGCGCGAAAAGCGUGGGGGAGCAAAACAGG